rnacentral:rRNA from 1 species
AUACGUAGGGAGCAAGCGUUGUCCGGAUUUACUGGGUGUAAAGGGUGCGUAGGCGGCUCUGCAGGUCAGGCGUGAAAGCCGGAGGCUUAACCUCCGAACUGCGUUUGAAACUGUGGAGCUUGAGUGAAGUAGAGGUAGGCGGAAUUCCCGGUGUAGCGGUGAAAUGCGUAGAGAUCGGGAGGAACACCAGUGGCGAAGGCGGCCUACUGGGCUUUAACUGACGCUGAGGCACGAAAGCAUGGGUAGCAAACAGGAUUAGAUACCCUGGUAGUCCAUGCCGUAAACGAUGAUUACUAGGUGUGGGGGGUCUGACCCCUUCCGUGCCGGAGUUAACACAAUAAGUAAUCCACCUGGGGAGUACGGCCGCAAGGUUGAA